UUCAGAACGUCGUGAGACAGUUCGGUCCCUAUCCGUCGCAGGCGUAGGAAAUUUGAGAAGACCUGUCCUUAGUACGAGAGGACCGGGAUGGACGUACCUCUGGUGUACCAGUUGUUCUGCCAAGGGCAUGGCUGGGUAGCUAUGUACGGAAUGGAUAAGCGCUGAAAGCAUCUAAGCGCGAAGCCAACUUCAAGAUAAGAUUUCCCACCGCAAGGGUAAGACCCCAGAAAGACUAUCUGGUUGAUAGGUCGAAGGUGUAAGUGCAGCAAUGUAUUUAGCUUAUCGAUACUAAUAGGUCGAGGACUUGACCAAU
rnacentral:rRNA from 1 species